CCCUGCCCCGCGACCCCGGGGCUGCCCUCCUCCCCCUUUCCCGCUCCCUGGGGACCAGCUCAGUGGUGUGGGCGCUGCUCCCCGGGCUGAGAGCCUCCGGCUGUGAACCCCAGCUUCUCCUGGUGGAGUCGGGAAAAGGGAGCGUCAGUGCUGAGCGAGCUUCCAUCUCCUCCCUCAGUGUUUCUUCCCCAGUACAUUUUGGUUACUGAAACCCUCGAAUUCCCAUAUGAAUUGUAGCAGCAGCUAGUCAGUUUCUGCAGAGGAGCCCGCAGGGAUUGUGAUCGAGACCACGUUGAAUAUACGGAUCGUUCUGGGGAGCACUGCCAUUCCAAGAGCGCUGUCUUCUGAUCAAGGAAUGUGCGUGGUUUGUCUGUCCAGGUGACACUGCUCUGGUUGCUGAAUGUGCCCUUUCCUCAGACUUCGUUUUGGAGUUAAGUCACCAUCAGUGGAGCCCUCUCGUUAAAAGAUGAAGAAAACAUUUGCUCCUUCUCCCUGGCUGGGGACUUGGAUGAGAUGAGAGUUCUACAUAUAGUUGGUUACAUUCUGUACCUGGAAAUUUCUCCAAAACUUCUUCCCACGUGCCCUCACCUCCAGUAGCAUCCAUCCAGACAGCAGAACUGACACUGGCCAUGCUCAGAAAUGCCUCAGCCCUGAAGACACAAGUGACAAAUAGAAGGGGGCCACGCCCUGUUACAGCAGGUGCUCUCACUUUGUGGAUCCUUAUGUAACUGAGCGGUGUUAAUCAGGAUUGCCUGUUCUACAUUGUGUGGCGCUGCUCCAGUGUCUCCUAUUUACUUGUUUCUUGUAAGAAUGCCGGUGACUGAGUUAGAAGCAUGCUCCCAAGCUGUCCGUGUCCUUGUCAUUCAGAAGCGGACCCUGGAAGCUUCCGAAUUUCUCCAGAAUGCGUUCUACAUUCACCUUCGACAGAUCCCUCCCUUUUCUCUGCUCUUCCUGUCCAUCUGUCUCCCUCCACUUUCCCCCUCCUCUCCUCCCCCUCCCAUCUUCUCCCUCCCUCGCUGUCCCACCUUCUCUCGCAGAACCCAGAGUGGAUCGCUGGCCAUCCUGCGCAUGGGCAGUCGGUGCCAGCUGGACCACGGGUUGGAAGCUCCAGUUCCGAGCCGGGGAUCGGCCCCAAAGGCUUCUUAGCU